rnacentral:lncRNA from 1 species
UCCCCAGGCUGGGACUACUUGUUAACAGCCACAACUUCUGGAGGACAAGCAGGAUGCAGUAAUCGUAUUAGGAGAAAGCAGGUAAAUAAGGACCUUGGAGAAGAAGCAUGACUUUGACAAUAUGAGAGGAAUCUGAAGCAGCUUUCCAUUCCAACUUAAAUAAUGAUAUAAAUAAACGGAGGAAUAUUCAGAGCUGAUGGCCAGACCCUGGCAAUACACCACAAAUGAUGAAACUAACAAAGUUAAUCAAUCAGGAACUUGAAGUACUACUACUUAACAGAGAGUUCACACUUACUUAGUCAUUAACACUUAGUCAUAAAAGACCACCAGCACUGCACCCCCCAGGCAGCAAAUCCAGAGACUUUGAUUGGUUCCCGAGAUAUGAUAGACCAGCCCACUGUGAAAGGAAGGAGAAACCACAGAGACAGGAAGUGAAUUGGAGAAAACUGCUUAUAAAAGCCAACCAAGUGCAUUCUAAUUCACUCAACUGCCUUGGAGGACUUCUGCUGCCUUGGUAGCUCUUGCAGAGGGAAGUCUUCUGUGUUGUCUCUGUGUUGGAGGCUCUUCUGCAUUGGAGGGAUUCUUCUGCCUUGGACUUCUGCAUUGGAAAUUGCUUUUGAGCUGUUAAGACUCUUGCUGAAGAGACUACAGUGACUUUUGCUUUGGAGAUCAGAAGAAUUAGAUCCUGUUGGAGAUUAGAACAUAAAAAUCCACUGUAAAACUGAAGGUUCAAGAUGAUUUCAACACAAUGUUAUUCUGGCAACAAGGAUGAAAUUGUAUUAAAUUUGAAUUGCCAUAGACACUGUAAAUCCUCCUGGAAAUCCCUAUUUGAAAGUGCUCCAGUCUCCAGCUUCAGCGACCUGCUUUGAGCUACAUUUCUCUUCAUCCUUCAAAUGAUCCCCAAAUGACUUGGUUUUGUGCUCCCUCAACAUAUUGAUCAUCUCUUCUGGAUGACAGCCACCUGGUUAACAUCUCUGAAAAAGCAGAACAGUCAAGUUUUGAAAAAAAUAAUCCAGAUGUGAUAUAACCAAGUACGAGUAAAGACAUACUAUAACUUCCUUUGUCUGCAUAUCAAACUUUAGUUAAUUCAGUC